UACGGAGGAUGCAAGCGUUAUCCGGAAUGAUUGGGCGUAAAGCGUCCGCAGGUGGCUAUGUAAGUCUGCUGUUAAAGAGUGAGGCUCAACCUCAUAAGAGCAGUGGAAACUACAUGGCUAGAGUGCGUUCGGGGCAGAGGGAAUUCCUGGUGUAGCGGUGAAAUGCGUAGAGAUCAGGAAGAACACCGGUGGCGAAAGCGCUCUGCUAGGCCGCAACUGACACUGAGAGACGAAAGCUAGGGGAGCAAAUGGG
rnacentral:rRNA from 1 species